AUGCAAGUAUGCAAAGAUCCUAC
rnacentral:siRNA from 1 species